GUUCUUGGAGUGUGGYCUUGACCGUGGCUUUCGGACUAACGCGUUAAGUAGACCGCCUGGGGAGUACGGUCGCAAGAUUAAAACUCAAAUGAAUUGACGGGGGCCCGCACAAGCGGUGGAGCAUGUGGUUUAAUUCGAUGCAACGCGAAGAACCUUACCUACUCUUGACAUCCAGAGAACUUUCCAGAGAUGGAUUGGUGCCUUCGGGAACUCUGAGACAGGUGCUGCAUGGCUGUCGUCAGCUCGUGUUGUGAAAUGUUGGGUUAAGUCCCGCAACGAGCGCAACCCUUAUCCUUGUUUGCCAGCACUUCGGGUGGGAACUCCAGGGAGACUGCCGGUGAUAAACCGGAGGAAGGUGGGGACGACGUCAAGUCAUCAUGGCCCUUACGAGUAGGGCUACACACGUGCUACAAUGGCGCAUACAGAGGGCGGCCAACUUGCGAGAGUGAGCGAAUCCCAAAAAGUGCGUCGUAGUCCGGAUCGGAGUCUGCAACUCGACUCCGUGAAGUCGGAAUCGCUAGUAAUCGUGGAUCAGAAUGCCACGGUGAAUACGUUCCCGGGCCUUGUACACACCGCCCGUCACACCAUGGG
rnacentral:rRNA from 1 species